rnacentral:rRNA from 1 species
CGGUGGAGUAUGUGGUUAAUUCGAUGCAACGCGAAGAACCGUUACCUGGUCUUGACAUCCCGGAGACCCUUAGGAAACUAGGGGGUGGCUUCCAUCUGGAAGAAUCUGGAGACAGGUGCUGCAUGGCUGUCGUCAGCUCGUGUCGUGAGAUGUUGGGUUAAGUCCCGCAACGAGCGCAACCCUUGCCUUUAGUUGCCAGCAGUUCGGCUGGGCACUCUAAAGGGACUGCCGGUGUUAAACCGGAGGAAGGUGGGGAUGACGUCAAGUCCUCAUGGCCUUUAUGACCAGGGCUACACACGUACUACAAUGGCCGAUACAAAGGGCAGCGACACUGCGAGGUGAAGCCAAUCCCGUAAAAUCGGUCUCAGUCCGGAUUGGAGUCUGCAACUCGACUCCAUGAAGUUGGAAUCGCUAGUAAUCGUGGAUCAGCAUGCCACGGUGAAUACGUUCCCGGGCCUU